CCUACGCGAGGCUGCAGUAGGGAAUAUUGCUCAAUGGGGGAAACCCUGAAGCAGCAACGCCGCGUGGAGGAUGAAGGUUUUAGGAUUGUAAACUCCUUUUGUUAGAGAAGAUUAUGACGGUAUCUAACGUAUAAGCACCGGCUAACUCCGUUCCAGCCGCCGCGGUAAUACGGAGGGUGCAAGCGUUACUCGGAAUGACUGGGCGGAAAGAGUGCGUAGGCGGGGUAAUAAGUCAGAUUUGAAAUCCUGUAGCUUAACUACAGAGCUGUAUUUGAAACUGUUACUCUGGAGUGUGGGAGAGGUAGGUGGAAUUCUUGGUGUAGGGGUAGAAUCCGUAGAUAUCAAGAGGAAUACUCAUUGCGAAGGCGACCUGCUGGAACAUUACUGACGCUGAUGCACGAAAGCGUGGGGAGCAAACAGGAUUAGAUACCCGAGUAGUC
rnacentral:rRNA from 1 species